rnacentral:lncRNA from 1 species
GCCACAGGCUGGGUGGGGCAGCAUGGAGACCCACCCGCAACGGCGGAGCCCGCCUGCCCGCAGGUCAUCUUCAUCACAGAAUACGUGUCGUCUGGCAGCCUCAAGCAGUUCCUCAAAAAGACCAAGAAGAACCACAAGGCCAUGAACGCCCGGGCCUGGAAGCGCUGGUGUACGCAGAUCCUGUCUGCACUCAGUUUUUUGCACGCCUGCAGUCCCCCCAUCAUCCACGGGAACCUGACGAGCGACACCAUCUUCAUUCAGCACAAUGGCCUCAUCAAGAUCGGCUCCGG